rnacentral:rRNA from 1 species
AUUGAACGCUGGCUGCAUGCUUUCCACAUGCACGUCGAACGGUAACAGGUUAAGCUGACGAGUGGCGAACGGGUGAGUAAUGCAUCGGAACGUGCCCGAUCGUGGGGGAUAACGCAGCGAAAGCUGCGCUAAUACCGCAUACGAUCUGAGGAUGAAAGCGGGGGACCGUAAGGCCUCGCGCGAUCGGAGCGGCCGAUGUCAGAUCAGGUAGUUGGUGGGGUAAAGGCUCACCAAGCCAACGAUCUGUAGCUGGUCUGAGAGGACGACCAGCCACACUGGGACUGAGACACGCCACAGACUCCUACGGGAGGCAGCAGUGGGGAAUAUUGGACGAUGGGCGAAAGCCUGAUCCAACAAUGCCGCGUGCAAGAAGAAGGCCUUCGGGUUGUAAACUGCUUUUGUACGGAGCGAAAAGGCCCUCUCUAAAACAGGGGGUUUAUGACGGUACCGUAAGAAAAAGCACCGGCUAACUACGUGCCAGCCGCCGCCGUAA